rnacentral:lncRNA from 1 species
CCUCGCACUCAGUUUUGUGUGGGAUGCGCCGGCGAUAUUUGUUGAUUGUUAUUUAAAAUGCAGUUUAGAUGAUGCUUGGGAAAAUGAAUGACUCUACUACAGCUUCCAGCGCCGGAGGAGUGCGCGAAUCAGACAGCGGAGAGUAUGAGUUGUGCAUGCUGAACAAAAAAAAAAAAAUAAAGUUAUCUGUUCGGAGGGGUUCAUGCCCUGUGACCCAGUAAAAUAAUUGGUACCAGUUUUUAAAUGCUCUGAGCACGUUGCUUCUCAGUAACAACUCGUAUGCAUUCCUUGGGUCGUGAUUAGGCAGGCACUAUGCCUUCAGCUUUCCUUGUCAGUCGAAACUCAAAUAAUAAGGUAAAUUGUACUCCUGAUGUUGAUAAUUGACCUACACUUAUACCCACACAAGUGUACCUGCAAGCAUUUUAAAUAAAUAGAUCCAUGAGAAAGAUAAACUUAUCUUUUUAUGCC